AUACUGCCUCGAUGCCCUGACCCUCACGGGGAUGGGUGCACUUAUAGAUCAGAAGCCAACCGUGUUCUGUCGUGGCAACAUGGCUGGACGCGUUGACCUUCUGGUGACUCUGGAUAAUUGUUACAGAUCGCAGUCGGCCUUGAGUCGGCGACGGGUCCUUCAAAUGUCUGCCCUAUCAACUUUCGAUGGUAGGUGACCUGCCUACCAUGGUGAUAACGGGUAACGGGGAAUCAGGGUUCGAUUCCGGAGAGGGAGCCUGAGAAACGGCUACCACUUCCAAGGGAGGCAGCAGGCGCGCAAAUUACCCACUCCCAGUACGGGGAGGUGGUGACGAAAAAUACCGAUGCGGGACUCCUUAAAGAGGCUCCGUAAUCGGAAUGAGUGGACUAUAAAUCCUUUCACGAGGAUCAAUUGGAGGGCAAGUCUGGUGCCAGCAGCCGCGGUAACUCCAGCUCCAAUAGCGUAUAUUAAAGUUGCUGCAGUUAAAAAGCUCGUAGUUGGAUCUCGGUAGCACUGUUGCCUGUUGGUCUUUGGGUGGAUGGUUGCCGUAGCUAGCGUCGUUGUCGUUGCGUGUUACUGCGGGAUGCGGCGUUGGCUGCGGCGGCAGCUGUGCAUUCCAAGCUAGCGGGGUAGCGGUGUGACCUGUAAGCCAUGUCUGUGGUGAAAGCCGCAGGUGUGAGCGAGUGUCGGGCGACGUCCUGCGGUAGUGGGGCUUGUCGGCUCGUUUGCAUGCCUUUGGAUGCCCUUAAAAAGGUGUCUGUGGGCGGAUGGCACGUUUACUUUGAACAAAUUUGAGUGCUCAAAUCAGGCCGAUGUUGCCUGAAAAGUUUUGCAUGGAAUAAUGGAAUAGGACUUCGGUUCUAUUUCGUUGGUUUUCGGAUCCGAAGUAAUGAUCAAAAGAGACAGGCGGGGGCGUUUGUAUGGCUGCGCUAGAGGUGAAAUUCAUGGACCGUAGCCAGACAAACUAAAGCGAAAGCAUUCGUCAAGCAUGUUUUCAUUGGCCAUGAGCGAAAGUCAGAGGCUCGAAGACAAUCAGAUACCGUCCUAGUUCUGACCAUAAACGAUGCCAACUGACGAUCCGUGGUGGUAGUCUGUCAACCUUCCCCACGGGCAAUCCCCGGGAAACUUUAGGCUUUGGUUCCGGGAAGUUGGUGCAACUUAACUAAA
rnacentral:rRNA from 1 species